GCAAGUACCAAUUUUCACAUAUUCACUAAAACCUACACGAAAAUAUUCGGAAACACAUCGAUGGAUUCACCAGCGCUUUUUGAUGACACCUAUUUGGAGGAAUGCCCGACAACUUCUUCGACUCCCGUAAAAGAACAAUUGACAUUUAAACGGAAGAAAUUCAACAUUUCUGGUUGCUACAACCCAGAGGCAAGCUUCUCAAAACAAAAAGGAAACAAUUUGGCUGUGGAAGGAAAUGGUAAUUCAAUAUAUUGUUAAAAUGCAUAGAAGUAUAUUUAUAUAUUAUUUUUUGUAUCUAUAUAAGAAUUUAUAGAAAUAAUUUUUAAAUUAUUAAAAAAAA